UGAGGAAUAUUGGACAAUGGGCGAAAGCCUGAUCCAGCCAUGCCGCGUGUGUGAAGAAGGUCUUCGGAUUGUAAAGCACUUUAAGUUGGGAGGAAGGGCAGUAAAUUAAUACUUUGCUGUUUUGACGUUACCGACAGAAUAAGCACCGGCUAACUCUGUGCCAGCAGCCGCGGUAAUACAGAGGGUGCAAGCGUUAAUCGGAAUUACUGGGCGUAAAGCGCGCGUAGGUGGUUUGUUAAGUUGGAUGUGAAAGCCCCGGGCUCAACCUGGGAACUGCAUUCAAAACUGACAAGCUAGAGUAUGGUAGAGGGUGGUGGAAUUUCCUGUGUAGCGGUGAAAUGCGUAGAUAUAGGAAGGAACACCAGUGGCGAAGGCGACCACCUGGACUGAUACUGACACUGAGGUGCGAAAGCGUGGGGAGCAAACA
rnacentral:rRNA from 1 species